UAGGGAAUAUUGGACAAUGGGUGCGAGCCUGAUCCAGCCAUGCCGCGUGCAGGAAGAAGGCCUUCUGGGUUGUAAACUGCUUUUGCCAGGGGAUAAAAUGGCCUUGCGAGGCAAAUUGAAGGUACCUGGUGAAUAAGCCACGGCUAACUACGUGCCAGCAGCCGCGGUAAUACGUAGGUGGCAAGCGUUGUCCGGAUUUAUUGGGUUUAAAGGGUGCGUAGGCGGCCCUGUAAGUCAGUGGUGAAAUACGGCAGCUUAACUGUCGAGGUGCCAUUGAUACUGCGGGGCUUGAGUACAGACGAGGUAGGCGGAAUUGACGGUGUAGCGGUGAAAUGCUUAGAUAUCGUCAAGAACACCGAUAGCGAAGGCAGCUUACUAGGCUGAAACUGACGCUGAUGCA
rnacentral:rRNA from 1 species